rnacentral:rRNA from 1 species
CCUACGGGGUGCAGCAGUGAGGAAUAUUGGUCAAUGGGCUUACGCCUGAACCAGCCAAGUCGCGUGAGGGAAGAAUGCCCUAUGGGUUGUAAACCUCUUUUGUCAGGGAGCAAGUGGCGCUACGUGUAGCGUUAUCGAGAGUAACUGAAGAAAAAGCAGCGGCUAACUCCGUGCCAGCAGCCGAGGUAAUACGGAGGAUGCGAGGGUUAUCCGGAUUGAUUGGGUUUAAAGGGUGCGGAGGCGGAAUGCCAAGUCAGCGGUAAAAUCGCGGGGCUCAACCUCGCUCCGCCGUUGAAACUGGCGUUCUUGAGUGUGCGAGAGGUCUGCGGAAUGCGUUGUGUAGCGGU